rnacentral:rRNA from 1 species
CCCGCUGAACUUAAGCAUAUUAUUAAGCGGAGGAAAAGAAACUAACAAGGAUGCCCUCAGUAACGGCGAGUGAAGCGGGCAAAGCUCAACCUGAAAAUCGGGAUCUCAAACGGGACCUCGAAUUGUGGGCUACAGACGCGUGAUCAGUGUGUGACCCGGGUAUAAGUGUGUUUUUGGAAUUACUCAUCACAGAGGGUGACAAUCCCGUCCGUGACCUGGAGUUCGCCGCGUACGAUCCGUGUUCGCAGAGUCGCGUUGUUUGGGAUUGCAGCGCUAAAUGGGUGGUAAAUUUCAUCUAAAGCUAAAUAUCGACGAGAGACCGAUAGCGAACAAGUACCGUGAGGGAAAGAUGAAAAGAACUUUGAAAAGAGAGUUAAAAAGUACUUGAGAUUGCUAAGAGGGAAGCACUGGAAACCAGUUAUGAUUGAUUGCACCUCAAUAGCCGCUCCUGGAUCUGGUGAGACGUCAGGAGCCCAAAGCCCUGUGUUUUGCCAGUGAAAAUGUGGCUAUGUAUGUGUAGUUAGUCGAGUCAGAAUCAAUUUGAUCCGUGAGAGAAAGCUAUGACCACGGUAAGAGCUACCGGGGAAACCUGGUAGUUCCGAUCUAGUGUGGUAGUGCUAUCAUGGGUUAGAUUGAGGAUAAAAUCGAAUUGCGCACCGUUAGGUUCGUGAGCACCUCUCCCUGGCGGAUCAAGGGGCUUGGACAACAAAGUUGUGCGGUCUCUGAAGUUUGCUACUGGUCUGGUUGUCUCAAUAGCUGCAGUCGAGAUUUUGACGAAAUGGUUUUCAUUGACCCGUCUUGAAACACGG